rnacentral:rRNA from 1 species
CCUACGGGUGGCAGCAGUCGAGAAUCAUUCACAAUGGGGGAAACCCUGAUGGUGCGACGCCGCGUGGGGGAAUGAAGGUCUUCGGAUUGUAAACCCCUGUCAUGUGGGAGCAAAUUAAAAAGAUAGUACCACAAGAGGAAGAGACGGCUAACUUUGUGCCAGCAGCCGCGGUAAUACAGAGGUCGCAAGCGUUGUCCGGAAGCACUGGGCGUAAGGGGUGCGUAGGCUGUUUCGUAAGUCGUGUGUGAAAGGCUCGGGCUCAACCGGCGGACGGCACAUGAUACUGCGAGACUAGAGUAAUGAAGGGGGAACCGGAAUUCUCGGUGUAGCAGUGAAAUGCGUAGAUAUCGAGAGGAACACUCGUGGCGAAGGCGGGUUCCUGGACAUUAACUGACGCUGAGGCACGAAGGCAAGGGGAGCGAAAGGGAUUAGAUACCCCUGUAGUC